AAUUCAGGUAAGCACACAUUUUUUUACAGUAGCAGUCGUGCCACAAAGCUGGUACGGUGGUAGUUUCUGCGUUUGGCCAAAUUACCCGAGGGACGAAAGGGUGGACAAGGCUGUCCGAGGUGCCGAAGAACCUCAACCUGACUGGCAGACACAUGAUAUGAUUACUUGGUGGCAAGGCGAUGGUUAAAAAAGUAUGUCCUGUGACACAUCCGAUCUCCAUUCAGAAGAGGAGGCAAUUCCUAAAAGGAGAAAUCCAAUGCCUGUGACAGCGAACAAGCCAGGGGUACACACCAACCUGGCGAGGGGCGAGGUGUGGUUCAGACGCCAUUGCCUGCUGUGCUGCUCAAGUUUAAAUCCUGGCCAUGCUGGAGACGCUUACACAGCAGGUCCAUCAAUUAACUGGCAAAGUUAACAGCUUUGUUCGCCCCAGUGUGACACAAAUGUCUGGUCAAGAAGUGGAGUGGAGAGACCCGUUUCCGUUGACCACAAUGGAGGAAGUGGACCUGUUUGAGCAACAGCUCAAAGAUCCAGCCAACGCUUUAAUGAAGAAGAGUGUGACUUCAUCACCAGCAGGACAGCGAACAAGCCAUGCAGGGUACACACCAACCUGGCGAGCGGUGAGGUGUGGUUCAGAC